GGGAGCUUAAGGGCGCCGGCACGCGUUCCCCUGGCGCAGAGCUCGCUAGCCGGGGCGCGGGCUGCCUCCUUGUUCUGGUGUGAUCCGAAUGUAACGGAGCGGACUUUGGGAUCCAGAACCCCGGACUGAGGUUGUGCUUGGCUUGAGGGGCGGGCUGGCGAGUAGGAGUAGAACUGCUGGUAGACAGGGGGAGCCUGGCUGUUCUGGUGAAGUCACUGUGGGCUAGUAGAUUGAGAAUGAGUUCAUAGUCACACUUGAGUUCAAAUCUGAACUACAUCAUAGGUGAGCUGUGUGUCCUUGGAUUUAUAACCUCAAUUUGCAUACUGAGGAGAAGUUUAAGGAUCUCUGCAAUUUUUCCUCUUAGGAUUUAUUUCCCUGGAGACCUCAUGAAGAAUGAUGUGGGUUCUAUAGGGUACAGUGUGAUCUGGGUCCUGCCUAAUCUCCUUUCUAAACUUCAGAAAAUCAUGGACCUUGGAGUUGUGGAGGCAUGUUUAUAAGCAGAUCUGAGUUUUGCCACACUGGAAUUUAUUUAUUCAUUGAACAAAUAUUUAAUACCUACUACAAUUCUUAGCCGUCUGUUAGAGAUUGCUGGAGGUCCACUACAGACACUGUUUUCCUGGAUAUCCCCAGCAGAGGCUACAGAACAGCAAAGAUUCCUGCCUGCCCCUUCCUCUUGAAGGUUUGUUCCAGAGGGACACCUGCCAGAUGCCAGCCAGAGCUCUCCUGUAUGAGAUAUGUGUUGAUCCCUGCUGGGAGGUGUCUCCAGUCAGGAGGCAUGAGGGUCAGGGAACUACUUGAGGAGGCAGUCUGUCCCUUAGCAGAGCUCAAGUCCUAUGCUGGGAGAUCUGCUGCUCUCUUCAGAGCCAGCAGGCAGCAAUGUUUAAGUCUGCUGAAGCUGCGCCCACAGCCGCCCCUUCACCCAGGUGCUCUGUCUCAGGGAGAAGGGAGUUUUAUCUAUAAGCCCCUGACUGGGUCUGCUGCCUUUCUUUCAGAUAUGCCCUGCCCAGUGAGGAGGAAUGUAGAGAGGCAGUCUGGCCACAGCGGCUUUGCCAUGCUGCAGUUAGUCUUGCCCAGUCCGAAAUUCCUGGCAGCUUUGUUUAUACUGUGAGGGGAAAACCACCUAUUCAAGCCUCAGUAAUGGCAGGUGCCCUUCCCCCAAUGAAGUCGUAUCAUCCAAGGUCGACUUCAGACUGCUGUGCUGACAGCGAGAAUUUCAAGCGAGUGGAUCUUAGCUUGCUGGGCUCCAUAGGGGUGCCACCAGUUGAACAAGACCACUUGGCUCCCUGGCUUCAGUCCCCUUUCCAGGGGAGUGAACAGUUCUGUCUUGCUGGGGUUCCAGGUACCACUGGGGUAUGGAAAAAAAAUCUCCUGCAGCUAGCUCAGUGUCUGCCCAAACAGCCACCCAGUUUUGUGCUUGAAACCCAGGGCCCUAGCUGUACAGGCACCCGAGGGAAUCUCCUGGUCUGUGGGAUGUAGAAACUAUGGGAAAAGUGUAGUAUCUGGGCCACAGAGCACAGUCCCUCAUGACUUCCCUUGGUUGGGGAGGAAGUUCUCCAGCCCCUUGUGCUUCCUGGGUGAGGCAAUGCCUCCUGCUCCCCCUCCAUGGGCUGUACCCACUGUCUAACCAAUCCCAAUGAGAGGAACCAGGUACCUCUGUUGGAAAUGCAGAAAUCACCUGCCUUCUGCAUUGGUCUCACUGGGAGCUGCAGACCGGAGCUGUUCUUCAGCCAUCUUGCCCGCUCAUCUCUAAAAUUACUUUCUUGAUUACUUUUUUUUCCGUAAAUAUUAGCUGCUUUUCCAUUUAUUUAGAUCUUUUAUUUCUUUCAAAAAAAAUUUUAACUUUACAGUGGAUAAAUCUUAAAAUUCUUUUGUUUUGCUGUUGUUGUUUACUUUUAUUUUAGAUACAGGGGUACAUUUGCAUGUUUGUUAUAUAGGCAAAUUUGAGAAUAUGUAGUAUUUGGUAUUCCUGGUCCUGUGUUAGUUUGCUUACAAUAAUGGCCUCCAACUCCCUCCAUGUUGCUACAAAGGACAUAAUAUUGUUCUUUUACAUGGCUGUGUAGCAUACCAUGCUGUACAUGCAUCACAUUUUCUUUAUCUAGUCUACCAUUGGUGGACAUCUAGGUUGAUUCCAUAUAUCUGCAAUUGUGAAUAGUGCUGCAACAAACAUAUGCAUGCAUGUGUCUUUAUGGCAGAAUGAUUUCUAUUCCUUUGGAUAUGUAUGAAUCCAUUAUUACAUUGCUAUAAAGAAAUACAUAUAUCAGCACAACUUCUCUGCUCCAACUAGUCUACAUUGCAAAGCAUCUCCUAGUGUCUUUGGAAGAAGGAUCUAUGGGCCCUCAGAUUGAUAAUGAUAAGAACUAGAACUGUGAGGACUGCCACGUGACUGUAUUCCUGAGUGAUACGCAGAAUCUUGUGAAAGACUACUAAAGUGACAUGAGUGCUCACCUGGUAGAGGGAAGACCCUGAACGUCCAGACCGUUCCCCUGACCGGCCACGUGUGGACUCUUGGUGGCUCUGCUGUCUCAGCCCAGCCUUUCCGUGGCCUGACACUGAUUGUGUGUCUGAGUUUUCUGAAUGUCCCUCACUGUCACUGGCCUGACUACCGCUAGACCCCCGGUGUCCACGAUCGCUGACUGCAGAUGAAGCUUGCCCGCGCCCAGUGGCUGAGUGUCUGGAGCUGUCUGCUGACUGCUGGUGGCCGGAUCCAUGUCUUUCUCCUGGACUUGAUCUUGCCUGUUCAUGGGAUGAUGCAGUCUGUCCACGAGAGGAAGUCUCUGCGUGACGAGUGCCUGAUUGUCUGGAGCUGUCUGCAGAGUGCCCAUGACUGGCUCUGUCUUCAUCAUGGGACCUGGGGUGUCUGGAGCCAUCUCUUGACUGCUCCCACGCAGAUCCAUGAUGGUUUCUGGAAGCCGACCCAGAGUGCCUCUCAGAGUCUUCUGAGUGUCCCUCACUGUCCCUGUCCUGGCUAACUCUGGAUCCCCUACGCUUUCUUGUCCUGGACUCCUGCAAUGGCUCAUAAUAUGCUUGAGCCAACUUGAAUACCAUCAGAAGAAACUCAGUGAAGUCAAUUUUCUUGUUGUGGUCUAUAUCCAAGUGAUCCAUGAAGACAUCAACCAUAUCUGGGUCAUCUGGAUUCUGUACAGAGGGAAGUCACAGAGGGAGACUGCAUCAGACAGAAUCACAUUAUCAGCCAAUUAAUUCAAAGUUAAUUUAAGGAACCUGAUCUUUGAGUAUUAAAAAGUGGGACAAAAUCUUUUUUUUUUUUAAGACUUUUUUGUCUCAUCCUCAUUCAGGUGUUAUAUGUGAACAAAGAUGUAGACUAGUAAGGUAUCAAGAUUUGAUGGGGAUAUCCAGACAACUUGGAGCCAAGUCCCCACAGCUGGAUCAGACAACUUUUGGUGACAUCUCACAGUGUGGAUUAUCAAGCCAGUGUAUCAGUCUGGAGCCUAGGUUUUUUGCCUUUAGCUUUGCUCAGGAUGACUUCUGCUCUUCUAUGGCAAUACUUGAGAAGGUACAGCUUUGAUUAGACGAGAGGCUAUUUCAAUAACUUUCUCCUGAUAAGAAGACCACCGACCGUGGACGGAUUCUGGCCAGUUUACAAAGGCUGCAUACGUUCUUUCCUGUGCUGAGAUUACUAAGGAUAGGGCAGGGCACCCCACUAUGGCAAACACUAAUAAUGAUAUUGCUCCUGAUUUUGUUUCUGAAGGGAAUGCCUCUAAGAUUUCUUCAUUAAUUAUAAGGGACUGGGUCUCACUCUGUUGCCCAAGCUGGAGAACAGUGGCACCAUCAUAGCUCACUGCAGCCUUCAACUUCUGGGCUCAAGUGCUUCUCCCACCUCAGCCUCCCAAGUAGCUGGGACAACAGGUGAAAUUGAAGGCCAGCUUUUGGAACUCAACCUUCAAAGGAACUUAAAAUUUCCAUUAUGUAGAGUCCCUGAGGAAACUGGAUCCACUAGCUACACUGGCUGAGAAUGCUCUCACCCCAGGAUUUCAUUUUUAUUUUACCACAUCAUUGUUGGUAUCUUAAGAUCAAUGUACUGGAGCAGCGGGGUCUCACAAAGAGGAUACCUGGUGACACGCCCAGGCUUUCAGAAUGCACUAUAGGGCUUUAGUGACUUGUCCAGGUUCAGCUGAAAUGUGCCAUCUGGGACCUACUAAUGCUUGUUGAACUUUACUGGAUCUCAGAAGCUGGGUCUCAGAAGCUCAGAUGUUCCUCAGAGCUACGAUAUCAACAACCUGUGAUGACAGAGAGAAGGUUGCUCCAUGAUGGAUUUGGAAACUUACUGGCUAGCUAAACCUGACUGAAUGGGAAGGAAUGUGGAUAGCUUUGGAACUCUAGUUUCACUAGAUGAGCUGGAAUUUGUAUUUUGACAAAUUGCACGUUAUGAUUAUUAAGUAAUGCAACUGAUUUUUUUUUCCCUUAAAACAAACAAUCUAGAAUCUGUGUAAUCAAAAUAAUUUCUCUAAAAGGCUGCAAGUAUAUGCUUAAAGUGUUGGGGCAUUCAGAGCAUUUGGAACAUUACAUUCUUUUGAAUGUCAAUUGGUAGAUGAAAAUACCAGCUUUUAAGUCAUACAUUUGAUUUUUUGAAACAAUAUGCAUUUAGAGUUUGUAAGUCAAGUGAAUAACUGAUAAGGUAAAAAAAAGGGGGAGUUCAUUGUUGAGUAUGAAUUUAAAGUAACCAGACUGCCUUUUGUCCAGUGGCUGUCAGUAAUUUACUUCAGCAGGCAUUUUUUUUUUUUUGAGGCUGUUCUAUGAUAUCAUGACCCUUCUUGUAGGAAUGUGCUUCCAGUGGUGAGGCAGUCUGAGAAUGUGUGAAGCAGUAUAAUGAAGCCAGACCAAGAUGGAAGCUUGGCCUGGGAUUUGAGCAUCAGGAAAACUGUUGAAGGGUUAUGUAUACAUCACACACACACACACACACACACACACACACACACACACACACACACUCUCUUCCAUACUCCUAUAACAACGUAUAGUAUUUACUAUACCUGGUGACAGGUAUUUACUAUACAUUGUUGAAGAUCUAUAACAUGGAAUGCCUAGUGCUAAGUGCAGUGUCCUUAGUGAAAUUGUAUUGGUUUGGAAUUAUUUAUGAGUUUGGGAUUAUUUGUCACUACCCUUAAAUGAUCUUGACACUCACCUAUUUGAAAAGAUAUUGAGGAUUUGCCAUUUGAUAUUGACCAGGGUGUAUUGUGCACAAAUAUUGUGAAUAUACAUCUGUCUGUCCUUAAAUCACUGUAAGUUUUAACUGGAAUAGAUUUGCUCCACAUUACUCGGUAGGGCUGAUAUUUCAUGCCUCAUGGAUGAGAAAAGAAUAGGCAAAAAUUAUAUCUCGGGCUGCCUCACACAUCUUUUAACAGGAUAAGGGAAAAAUAAAUAUAAGACCUAUGAGUUAUGGCAUCAGGCUUGAACUUUAAUUUAUGAAUUAAACCAACAAUAUUAUUGAUUAUUGCAAUUAUCUAUCUUAAUUUCAUUUGUUCUCCUUUUAAAAAUUAAUUAUGUUUAUUUUACCUAUUGUGAAUAAAGUCACUCCUCCCAUGUGCUUAUUUCUUGACUCUGGCACUAAUUAUUCUUCAGUGCCUAGAUUUCCUGGGACUGCUCAGUUUAAGUAACUUCUGAACAUUGGUCUCUGAGAGAAAAGACAGUGAAGUGGGAUCUGUGGAAAAACACAUCUGCAAAUGUCUCAUUUUUUUCUUCAGGGGUAAGUUUUCUUCCUUGGAGACUCUUGUCUUGAAAAAGUGAUACUAGAUCACCAUUUGGCAAGAUAAUUACAAAAGGCAGAUAGAGUAAUUAUUUUACAUAGCUGUUAUAGGGUGACUAAGAUCUCAGGGAAUGACUGUGUUCUGUAAUCCACUUGCCCCACUCAAUACCCCAAGUUUUAUACAAGCCAAAGAUGCUUGGAGCAGAAUCUGCUACCUGAGGCUCCAGGGCCUUGGCCUAGGGAAACUAAUACUUAACUUUUUAAGUGGUCAUUGAUGACAUCCCACUCCUUUCUGAGAUGGGUAUGAUUUGAAAGGCAGGUGUAUUCAUGGAGAGCAGGGCUUGGGACCUUUGCUGCAAGAGGAGGAACUAUUAGCCUAGACUUUUCUAAUAAGGACUUUCUCAUACCUGUUUCCUAGAUCUGGUCCACAUAGAAGAAAUCAGGGAACACACAGGGUAGGACUCUUAAAGGAGUAUGUUUCUUGGCUUUUUCCUAAAAACUAAAACAAAAACAUUCAUAGCAAAGCAGUUUAGCCCAGUGACUAAGAGUAUAGACAUUGGAAUCUGAAAGAUCUGGGUUGGAAUUCUGCUUCAGCCAUUUACUAAUUAUGUAACUUCACAUCUCUGAGAAUGGGGGAAAUUUUCUUUGCAGGGUUGUUACAAAGCUUAAAAGAGUUAAGUCAAGUGCCUGGAACAGAACAGCCAUUCAAUAAAUCAUAGAAAUUUUUGUUUUUACACAAAUUUUUAAAAAGUAAUAUUUUUUGCAUUUGUUAGAAAGACUAUAUUUUCUGUUUAGUGGAUGACAUCAUCAUCAUAAAAAUCACUGUUACAAGUUUUGUUUUGAGAAUUAAAAUCAUAUAUUAAUC
rnacentral:lncRNA from 1 species